GACGAACGCUGGCGGCGUGCUUAACACAUGCAAGUCGAACGGAAAGGCCCUGCUUUUGUGGGGUGCUCGAGUGGCGAACGGGUGAGUAACACGUGAGUAACCUGCCCUUGACUUUGGGAUAACUGCAGGAAACUGGGGCUAAUACCGGAUAGGAGCUCCUGCUGCAUGGUGGGGGUUGGAAAGUUUCGGCGGUUGGGGAUGGACUCGCGGCUUAUCAGCUUGUUGGUGGGGUAGGGGCUUACCAAGGCUUUGACGGGUAGCCGGCCUGAGAGGGUGACCGGCCACAUUGGGACUGAGACACGGCCCAGACUCCUACGGGAGGCAGCAGUGGGGAAUAUUGCACAAUGGGCGGAAGCCUGAUGCAGCAACGCCGCGUGCGGGAUGACGGCCUUCGGGUUGUAAACCGCUUUCGCCAGUGACGAAGCGUGAGUGACGGUAAUGGGUAAAGAAGCCCCGGCUAACUACGUG
rnacentral:rRNA from 1 species